rnacentral:rRNA from 1 species
AUGGCUCAGGACAAUACUAAAUUGUGUGAAUUUUCCAAUAACAACAACAAUGAUUUUCUUAGCACCCCAGUUGCUCCUAUUACCGAUGCUGAAUCUUGCAAAAUUAAUGCUCCUUUGUUGAAUCUUGUCAUGAAAGAUCAAUUCUCUGGCCUUCCUAGUGAAGAUGUCGUUACACAUCUAAACAACUUUGUUGAUUUGUGUGAUAUGCAAAAGAAGAGAGAUGUGGACAAUGAUAUUGUUAAAUUGAAGUUAUUCCUGUUUUCGCAUAGAGAUCGUGCUAAAAUUUGGUUCACUUCUUUGCCUAAAAAUAGUAUUGAUUCAUGGAAUAAGUGCAAAGAUGCUCUUAUCUCUAAGUAUUUUCCUCCCGCUAAGAUCAUCUCUCUUAGAAACGAUAUUAUGAAUUCUAAGCAACUUGAUCAUGAACAUGUUGCACAAGCUUGGGAGAGGAUGAAAUUAAUGAUACGUAAUUGCCCUACACAUGGUUUGAAUUUAUGGAUGAUUAUACAAAAAAAUUAUGCUGGACUGAAUUUUGCUUCUAGAAACUUUUUAGAUUCGGCCGCGGGAGGCACUUUUAUGGAAAUCACUUUAGGAGAAGCUACUAAACUCCAAGAUAAUAUUAUGGUUAAUUAUUCUCAAUGGCACACCGAAAGAUCCACUAGUAAAAAGGUUCAUGCAAUUGAAGAGAUUAAUGUUUUGAGUGGAAAGAUGGAUGAACUUAUGAAGUUGUCUGCUAGUAAGAGUGUUUCUUCUGAUCCUAAUGAUAUGCCCUUGUCCACUUUUAUUGAGAGUAAUAAUGAAUCUAUGGAUGUGAAUUUUGUUGGUAGGAACAAUUUUGGUAACAACGCAUAUAGAGGAAACUUUAAUUCCAGGUAG